rnacentral:lncRNA from 1 species
UCUGUAUGUCUUGCUAAUCUGAUACAAACUCCACCAGCACCAUGUUUGUGAUGUUUGUGACUGCCCCAGGUACCCUGCUUCUUUCCACUUCGGAGCCAUUGUUUGCCCUACCUGCCUCCCCCAUGGAACCCUCAGGACGCUUGGACCAAAGAAGGGAAUUCUACAUGGGCUCUUCACAGAUCCCCAGGAGCUGCCAUAGCCCUGCCACCUGUGUUCAGGCAAAGAGACAUGUGAGGAAUGACAGAAUAUGCCCAUUCAGCACAAAAGCAGCACUGAAUUCUGGCUGUUUUUAGUUUGUGGCUGCUUAAAUCUGUGGAUGGAGAUCCCAUGAAUAUGGAGAGCCAACUGUACCUUCUGUAAACUAUGAAGUAAUGGGAUAAUGAACCCACUUCUGCGGCGUUCGCAUAUGCCCAGUGAGUGUAUUGUAGUCACUCACUGGGAAGAAUAUGUGAAAGAGAGAAAGUUGCUGAGGAGUGUCGCCAACUCUUCAGUGCUGGAUGAAGGAAGAGGAGGACAUCAAGACUCCAGGGAGAGUGAUGCUACUGUUGAUAAAUGCAAGAGAGCCUAUUGACAAUAUUCCUUGCUUGCUGUUACUGGAAGAAUGAGACACUCUAUUAGGAUGGCUGGAGACUUGGAGUCAGACUGCCUGGUUUUCAUGUCCACUCUGAAGUCAUGCACAUACCGUACCCAUUAGCCUUAGUUUCUUUUUAAGGGAAUUAGGAUGGUAGCCAUAACUCUCGUCCCAUUUGUUACAGAGAAGGCGCAGUAGGCUGUCAGGUGUGAAGGAAUCAGUACUUUGUAGGGUAAAAGGGCCAGCUAGAGAAACACACUCUGACCAUGAAACCAGAGCCAAAGAAAUACAAUUUGGCCCUGAAACCAGAGCCAAAGAAACAUACCCUGACCCUGAGACCAGAGCCAAAGAAACACACCAUGAGGACCAGACCAAAUUCACUGGCCCCCAAAUCAGAACCAAAGGGUUAAAAGGACCAGUGAAAGAAAUACACCCUGGCCCUGAAACCAGAGCCAAAGGUUAAAAAAAGGGUCAAUGAAAGAAACACACUUUGGGCCUGAAACCAGAGCCAAAGAAACAUACUCUGCCCCUGAUGAAUUCAGCACAAAACCAACCAACCCCUGGGCAGGAAAACUAACCAAUCCCUGAGCACACAAUCCAGCCAAUCUCUGAGGUUGUCCAAGCUCAGGGAUUGAAAUUCGACCAAUUCCCACCCUGAAAAUCUUCACUCUGGAAAAACUCUGCCCCUUAGAACCCCUAUAUAAGCCCUAUGUCUGUUCAGUUUCUCCACCCUGGCAGAGGCAGCCACUCUCCUGUAUUCCUCCCUCCCAAUAAAUCUCUUGGAUGAGGUUUGGGUGACA